UGCAAUAUGCAUAGUUCAGUGACUUUGUUAUUACAAAUGAAAUAAAAAUGAUUUUAGGAGAUAAAUUAGAAUAGUUGAGUGACCAUUUGAGUAAUAUGCAUAGUUCAGUGACUUUGUUAUUACAAAUGAAAUAAAAAGACUUUAGGAGAUAAUUUAGAAUAAUUGAGUGACCGUUUGAGUAAUACUAUGAAGCACACACAUUCGCACACACUGACCAUACCUAUUAAUACUCACAUAGCCACAUAUAAGAAAAACUUUCACAUCUUAUGAAUGUCUAAAUAACAAGAACAACAACCCAGUAUAAUCCCACUUAGUGAGGUCUGGGGAGGGUAGUGUGUACGUAGACCUUACCCAUACCCUUGGGUAGAGAGGCAGUUUCCAAAUAGACCCCCGGCAUCCUUUCCUCCAAGAACUUCCCACCUUUCUCUUGGGGAGACUCGAACUCACAACCUCUCGGUUGGAAGCGGGGGUUGCUUACCAUCAGAGCAACCCCUCUUGUCUGUAUGAAUGUCUAAAUGUUCCUACAAAAAUUAGAUUUCUCCAACUCUCUACAGUGAUCAUAAAAUUACUCACUCUGGCUGGACUUUUUCUAAAAUUGGGGAAGGGUGAGGGCAAGGAAGUGGAAUGGGAUUCCAUCCUUAAACCACACGAUAAAGGAGGGCCUCAACCAACUGAGCAACCCUCUCACCCCACUCUAGCUGGAUGGAAUUACCAUCGUAGCAAACAUAGGCACACUUUUCAUCGCCUAUAUGUUUAGGAAGAAAAAGAAGAAAUUUUUACAAUGCAGCCACUGCACACAUAAGCUUAAAUUCUUGGGAACUGCUGUUCAAAGUCAUCAAAUAUCGACCAUUACUGUGCCCCGACACUCGUCUACACCGAACAUAGGUAAAAAGUAGAGGCGGAACCAAAAUGACGUCUAACGUAUUGGCAAAGAACCAUAAUAUCGUGUAAAACAAAAGAACUAAACUACCUAUAACACAUG
rnacentral:lncRNA from 1 species